UGGGGAAUUUUGCACAAUGGGGGAAACCCUGAUGCAGCGACGCCGCGUGAUUUAGAAGGCCUUCGGGUUGUAAAAAUCUUUUUUACGGGAUGAAAAUGACAGUACCGUAAGAAUAAGGUCCGGCUAAUUACGUGCCAGCAGCCGCGGUAAUACGUAAGGUCCGAGCGUUGUCCGGAAUCAUUGGGCGUAAAGGGUACGUAGGCGAGUAAGCAAGUUAGAAGUGAAAUCCUAUAGCUCAACUAUAGUAAGCUUUUAAAACUGCUCAUCUUGAGGUAUGGAAGGGAAAGUGGAAUUCCUAGUGUAGCGGUGAAAUGCGCAGAUAUUAGGAGGAAUACCGGUGGCGAAGGCGACUUUCUGGCCAUAACCUGACGCUGAGGUACGAAAGCGUGGGUAGCAAACAGG
rnacentral:rRNA from 1 species